rnacentral:rRNA from 1 species
CCUACUGGAGGCAGCAGUGGGGAAUAUUGGGCAAUGGGCGCAACCCUGACCCAGCAACGCCGCGUGAAGGAAGAAGGCUUUCGGGUUGUAAACUUCUUUUCUCAGGGACGAAGAUAGUGACGGUACCGGAGGAAUAAGCCACGGCUAACUACGCGCCAGCAGCCGCGGUAAUACGUAGGGGGCAAGCGUUAUCCGGAUUGACUGGGUGUAAAGGGCGUGUAGGCGGGACUGCAAGUCAGAUGUGAAAACCACGGGCUCAACCUGUGGCCUGCAGUGGAAACGGUAGUGCUUGAGUACAGGAGAGGCAAGCGGAAUUCCUAGUGUAGCGGUGAAAUGCGUAGAUAUUAGGAGGAACACCAGUGGCGAAGGCGGUCUGCUGGACAGCAACUGACGCUGAGGCGCGAAAGCGUGGGGAGCAAACAGGAUUAGAUACCCCAGUAGUC